rnacentral:rRNA from 1 species
AUUGAACGCUGGCGGCAGGCCUAACACAUGCAAGUCGAACGAGUGGCAGACGGGUGUGUAAUGUGUGGAAAACUACCAUCUGGCGGGGGAUAACUAGGGGAAACUGUCUUUAAUCCCGCAAACCCUAGGAUUAGCCCAAGUUGGGAUAGGUAGUUGGUUAGGUAACGGCUCACCAAGCGGACGACCCCUAGCUGGUCUGAGAGGAUGACCAGCCACAAUGUAACUGAGACAUGGUCCAGACUCCUACGGGAGGAAGCAGUGGGGAAUAUUGCGCAAUGGGCGAAAGCCGGACGCAGCCAUGCGGCGUGAGUGAAGAGGGCCUUCGGGUUGUAAAGUACUUUCAGUGGGGAGGCGUUACCUGCAGAAGAAGCACCGGCUAACUCCGUGCCAGCAGCCGCGGUAAUUC